ensembl:snoRNA
UUGCACAGUGAACACCCAAGUGUGCUUUGUAGUUCCCUUGGCUAGAACUCUGUGCUAGAGUAAUCUGUUCUUUUCCUCUGCAUUAGAAGGAGUGCCUUUCCUUUUACAUGUAUUCAGAAGGACAGUACAUUU